UACGUAGGGCGCAAGCGUUGUCCGGAAUUAUUGGGCGUAAAGAGCUCGUAGGUGGUCUGUUGCGUCCGCUGUGAAAACCCAGGGCUUAACCCUGGGCUGGCAGUGGAUACGGGCAGACUAGAGGUAGGUAGGGGAGAAUGGAAUUCCCGGUGUAGCGGUGAAAUGCGCAGAUAUCGGGAGGAACACCGGUGGCGAAGGCGGUUCUCUGGGCCUUACCUGACACUGAGGAGCGAAAGCGUGGGGAGCAAACGGG
rnacentral:rRNA from 1 species